GUUUGGUUUGCCAUCACUUUUUGUGACUUUUCUGACAUCUGCAAGUGUCGGAAGUGUGACCUGAAACAUUUAAGGACACUUCUGCCUGAACCAUGGGCAGAUGUUUAGACUCCAAGAUACAGAGGAGGAGGGUCUUGGAGGUUUCUUAGUAUAAGUUCCUCCCUGUGGUACUUGCAGUUCCUACAAGGGGCUGUCAGAGAAACAAGCCGGAGCAGAAGAGCAAGACAUGGUCCUGGUGCAUGAAAGGAGCCUAAGAAAGAAGAGUGAAAGCUGCACGUGUGUGAGUAUCUAGCAGAACAUCUAGAAAAUGCACACCAACCUCCAGCAGCAGAAAACAGUCUACCUCCAGAAAGCCAUAAAAGAGAAAAGAAUGUUGUACCAAACUAAGCAAAUGAAGCAUGAAAUGAAAAGCCGGUUGAGCUGGGAGGUAUAAAGAAUGGAAAGGAAGCAGCUACCACCCCUGGUAACCCCAUCAAUCCGGAGAAGCUUCGCAGAGUUACACUGUGCUCUGUCGGGAAGGAAAUGAAUUUUCCUCAUUGUACACAUUCCGAGAAAAAUGAGGCUAAGACUAUUUCAAAGGAUGUUCUACCUAAUUCGAAUGGGCUUUAAGUGCCAUCUUCACAAUAGCGCCAGAGUCUGGUGUCAGCAAACUGAACAAAUAGAGCUACAGGGAGCGAAUGGGGCUGGGUGCCUCUCCAAAACAUAUGCAGAUGAACUUGAGAUUUCAGAGGACGGUUAAUCCUACACAGCAGUCAAGUGCCUUCCCAGGGGUAUGUCUCAGAUCUCAGGGCUCCCUUCCAAACACUGGCUGCCACGUCAAACCAAAGGGGACGAGCAAUCAGACUCACCUCAAACGCCAGUUAAGAAAGCCGGCCUUACUUAAGCAAUCAAGGGCAAGUGAUCAGCCAACUCUGCUUUCUUUCCUUUCUCUUGGAUCAUUUAUAGACCUUGUGGCCGUGGCCACCACAUUGAGAAGCCCUUGGUCUCUACUUGGACUCACUAUAGCAGAGCAUCCUGGCAGGCAUCCACUGUGCCAUAUGCUUUCGGGAAGUCUGGAUGCUGAAUGUGGUGGCUGUGGGGAAUUGAGCCUUAUUGCUUCAUAAGAUUCCUGGUGGUAGAACUAUUCUGAACAAGAACACGUCCGUCCCCAUAGGUGUGCUCCAAGAAUCACAGAAUAAGAAGGGACUUCGGAGAGAGCCUCACACAGUUGGGCAAUGGGAGCCCAGAGAGGCAAGGAAGGCUCCUUGCCCAAAGUCUUGUACAUCUGAAUCUGCAACUCCUGACUAUUUUUGAGUCUUAUGCUCCAGGCUAAAACUUGUGACUUUAAGUGUGAUGUUCUCGGUGAUGAUUAAUCUAGGAUGUUUCUGUUGUUUUCUUACCGUCAAAGAAUUAACAUCAAAAGGAAAGGAAGGAAGAAAUGUAGAAGUGAAGGCAAGAAGGAAGGAAGGAGGAAAGGAAGGAAGGAAAAUAUAGGCUUUGGGUAAAAAUAAGUUUCUACUCAACACUGACAAAGGUACAGGUUUUGGACAUUGGUUUCCUAAUCUGUAAAUGAGGAAUAGUCAUCACAUCGCUGUCCUGGCUGGUUUUGUGUGUCAACUUGACACAAGCUGGAGUUAUCACAGAGAAAGGAAAGAAAAUGCCUCCAUGAGAUCUAGCUGUAAAUGGAUUAGUGAUCAAGAGUGGGAGGGCCCAGUGUGGGUGGUGCCAUCCCUGGACUGGUGGUCCUGGGUUCUACAAGAAAACAAGCUGAGCAAGCCAGGGGAAGCAAGCCAGGGGAACAUCCCUCCACGGCUCUGCAUCAGCUCCUGCUUCCUGCCCUGUGUGAGUUCCAGUCCUGACUUCCUUUGGUGACGAACAGCAAUGUGAUAGUAUAAGCUGAAUAAACCCUUUCCUCCCCAAC
rnacentral:lncRNA from 1 species